UACUCAUUGGACCUAAACAGGCUGCCC
rnacentral:piRNA from 1 species